GUAGGUUCCGAGCGUUAUCCGGAUUUACUGGGCGUAAAGCGCGUUCAGGCGGUUCGGCAAGUCGGGCAUGAAAUCUCUCGGCUCAACCGGGAGAGGUUGUCCGAUACUGCUGGACUUGAGGGCAGUAGAGGGUGGUGGAAUUCCGGGUGUAGUGGUGAAAUGCGUAGAUAUCCGAAGGAACACCAGUGGCGAAAGCGGCCACCUGGACUGUACCUGACGCUCAAACGCGAAAGCUAGGGGAGCGAACGGGAUUAGAAACCCCGGUAGUCCUAGCUAUAAACGAUGUUGACUAGGUGUCGACGGUCUAAACCCCGCCGGUGCCGGAGCAAACGCAUUAAGUCAACCGCCUGGGGACUACGGCCGCAAGGUUA
rnacentral:rRNA from 1 species